CUUGAGUGACGGUUGAUUACUGGAAGACGAAGUCAUUCGAUCAUUUAUUUGCCUCUCUAUCACUAGAAUAUGCAGAAGUGAUAGAGACGCAAAUAAAGAAAUCUCGCUAUUUGAUGUUCGUGGUAGGUCCUCUGGUCAAAACGAAACAGCUGUAGGAGCAGUAAAUGGGUGAAUCAUUUUUUUCUUGUCACUCAUUGACAUAGUUACGUUCCCCUUUACAACUUUUAAAACCCUGAUUUCAUUGUAUAUAAAUUUCGUAAAUGCAUUUUCGUGGUAAUUAUAAGCUAUUUAAGUUUAGUGGAACUUGAUAAAUAAAAUAAAUAAAUAUUACAGGACUUUUUACACACAUUGACUAAAUCCCACAGUAAACUCAACAAGGCCUGUUUUGAGGGUACUUUAACAACGAUAUAUAUAAUAUAUAAAUAUUUAUAAAUACAUAGAAAACACCCAUGACUCAGGAACAAAUGUCCGUGCUCAUCACACGAAUAAAUUCCCUUACCAGGAUUUGAACCCGGGACCAUCGGCUUCAUAGGCAGGGCAGGGUCACUACCCACUAGGCCAGACGGUCGUCAAAUAUACAAUAUUACAAUAUUUAACUCUAACAAAUUGUGCUAUCCACUAUCUAAUAAAUUUACUAUUAGGAAACAAAUUAAAUAAAAAAAAUAUGAAAAAUAAUAAUAAUUGUGUUAUUUUAAAGGCGUAAGCCCUUAAGUUAUUGUAUAUAUAUUUGAGAAAAUUCGAUUCAUGCCAAGAAUCGAGGGCUUUUAGGCAUCUGCCGCGAAUGCAGAAGACGCUGGUUCGAUUCCAGCCCUGGGGACCUUGGUCACAUUUUCUUCCGUAUGUGACAUCAAUUUCAGGUUGCUUAAUGAAUAUCUACUAAAAAUCUAUGGUUAGAUAGUUAAUCAAUACAAAAUUGGUUCUCUUUGUUUAAUAUUUUUUGUAGGUAUAAUGGUGUUUGUGAUGACCGAUCUGGCCUAGUGGGUAGUGACUCUGCCUAUGAAGCCGAUAAUCCUGGGUUUGAAUCCCAGUUAGGGCAUUUAUUUGUGUGAUGAGCACAGAUAUUCGUGCCUGAGUCAUUGAUGUUUUCUAUGUAUUGAAGUAUUUGUAUAUAUUAUAUAUAUCGUUGUCUGAGUACCCACAACACAAGCAUUCUUGAGCUUACCGAGUACCCACAACACAAGCCUUCUUGAUAAGGUCCGACCGAGAUCUCGGUCUCGAUCUCGGUCUCGGCUCUCGGCCAAAAUGGGCCGAGAUUCUUGCCGAGACCGAGAAUAAGCAAU